UAGGGAAUCUUCGGCAAUGGACGAAAGUCUGACCGAGCAACGCCGCGUGAGUGAAGAAGGUUUUCGGAUCGUAAAACUCUGUUGUUAGAGAAGAACAAGGGUGAGAGUAACUGUUUACCCCUUGACGGUAUCUAACCAGAAAGCCACGGCUAACUACGUGCCAG
rnacentral:rRNA from 1 species